rnacentral:rRNA from 1 species
CCUGGUUCAGGACUAAGGCUGGCGGUAUGCCUUCCUUUAGAGAGUCGAACGAGUUUCCGGGCUUGCUCGGAAGCUAGUGGCGAACGGCUGAGUAACGCGUAGGUGACCUCCCCCGAAGUGUGGAAUAACUGCCCGAAAGGGUAGCUAAUACCGCAUGUCGAGCUCGCUUCAUUGCGAUCUCGAAAGCAGCAAUGCGCUUUGGGCGGGGCCUGCGUUCGAUUAGUUAGUUGGUGAGGUAAUGGCCCACCAAGGCGACAAUCGAUAGGUGGUCUGAGAGGACGAUCACCCAGACUGGGACUGAGACACGGCCCAAACUCCUACGGGAGGCAGCAGUCGGGAAUUUUGCGCAUUGGGGGAAACCCUGACGCAGCAAUACCGCGUGCGGGAUGAAGGCCUUCGGGUCGUAAACCGCUUUUCUCGGGGACGAUAAUGACGGUACCCGUGGAAUAAGCCACGGCUAACUACGUG